rnacentral:rRNA from 1 species
GAUGAACGCUGGCGGCGUGCCUAAUACAUGCAAGUCGAGCGAACAGAUGAGGAGCUUGCUCCUCUGACGUUAGCGGCGGACGGGUGAGUAACACGUGGAUGACCUACCUAUAAGACUGGGAUAACUUCGGGAAACCGGAGCUAAUACCGGAUAAUAUAUUGAACCGCAUGGUUCAAUAGUGAAAGACGGUUUUGCUGUCACUUAUAGAUGGAUCCGCGCCGCAUUAGCUAGUUGGUAAGGUAACGGCUUACCAAGGCAACGAUGCGUAGCCGACCUGAGAGGGUGAUCGGCCACACUGGAACUGAGACACGGUCCAGACUCCUACGGGAGGCAGCAGUAGGGAAUCUUCCGCAAUGGGCGAAAGCUUGACGGAGCAACGCCGCGUGAGUGAUGAAGGUCUUCGGAUCGUAAAACUCUGUUAUUAGGGAAGAACAAAUGUGUAAGUAACUAUGCACGUCUUGACGGUACCUAAUCAGAAAGCCACGGCUAACUACGUG